rnacentral:tRNA from 1 species
UGGGGUGUCGCCAAGUGGUAAGGCCCGGGGUUUUGAUCCCCGUAUGCGCAGGUUCGAAUCCUGCCACCCCAACCA